UGACCCUACGGGGGGCAGCAGUGAGGAAUAUUGGUCAAUGGGCGGGAGCCUGAACCAGCCAAGUCGCGUGAGGGAAGACGGUCCUAUGGAUUGUAAACCUCUUUUGUCGGGGAGCAAAGAGACCACGUGUGGUCAAAAGCGAGAGUACCCGAAGAAAAAGCAUCGGCUAACUCCGUGCCAGCAGCCGCGGUAAUACGUAGGUGGCGAGCGUUAUCCGGAAUGAUUGGGCGUAAAGGGUGCGUAGGCGGCCUGCUAAGUCUGGAGUGAAAGGUACCGGCUCAACCGGUACAGGCUCUGGAAACUGG
rnacentral:rRNA from 1 species